CAGUAGCCGCGGUAAUACGGAGGGUGCAAGCGUUAAUCGGAAUUACUGGGCGUAAAGCGCACGCAGGCGGUCUGUCAAGUCGGAUGUGAAAUCCCCGGGCUCAACCUGGGAACUGCAUUCGAAACUGGCAGGCUAGAGUCUUGUAGAGGGGGGUAGAAUUCCAGGUGUAGCGGUGAAAUGCGUAGAGAUCUGGAGGAAUACCGGUGGCGAAGGCGGCCCCCUGGACAAAGACUGACGCUCAGGUGCGAAAGCGUGGGGAGCAAACAGGAUUAGAGACCCGUGUAGUCCCUGUCUCUUAUAC
rnacentral:rRNA from 1 species